AGUGAACGCUGGCGGUAGGCCUAACACAUGCAAGUCGAACGGCAGCACAGUAAGAGCUUGCUCUUACGGGUGGCGAGUGGCGGACGGGUGAGGAAUACAUCGGAAUCUACUUUUUCGUGGGGGAUAACGUAGGGAAACUUACGCUAAUACCGCAUACGACCUACGGGUGAAAGCAGUGGAUCUUCGGACCUUGCGCGAUUGAAUGAGCCGAUGUCGGAUUAGCUAGUUGGCGGGGUAAAGGCCCACCAAGGCGACGAUCCGUAGCUGGUCUGAGAGGAUGGUCAGCCACACUGGAACUGAGACACGGUCCAGACUCCUACGGGAGGCAGCAGUGGGGAAUAUUGGACAAUGGGCGCAAGCCUGAUCCAGCCAUACCGCGUGGGUGAAGAAGGCCUUCGGGUUGUAAAGCCCUUUUGUUGGGAAAGAAAAGCAGCAGGUUAAUACCCCGCUGUUCUGACGGUACCCAAAGAAUAAGCACCGGCUAACUUCGUG
rnacentral:rRNA from 1 species